AGAAAAGGCAAAUGAAUAAAUGAAACAAAUGAUAUGUUAAAAUGAAGGAAUUUGUUUGGGAGAUCCAAGGACUGAAGAUCAGGUUUGGGGGAAGGGAGAAAUUAGACUGGAGUCAAAAGUCUUUGAAGCAAAAAGGGGACCAAAAACCAAAAUUUCCUUCAUGAAGACCUAGAGAGGAGGCAAAGACUCAGGAUAAGUUAUCUUCAAGUGUUGACUCCUCCACGGACUGGAGAUGCCUCACCAAUGAGCA
rnacentral:lncRNA from 1 species